AGUGAACGCUGGCGGCAGGCCUAAUACAUGCAAGUCGAACGGCAGCACAGUGGAGCUUGCUCCAUGGGUGGCGAGUGGCGGACGGGUGAGGAAUACAUGGGAAUCUGCCCAGUCGUGGGGGAUAACGUAGGGAAACUUACGCUAAUACCGCAUGCGCCCUUCGGGGGAAAGCCGGGACCGUAAGGCCUGGCGCGAUUGGAUGAGCCCAUGUCGGAUUAGCUAGUUGGCGGGGUAACGGCCCACCAAGGCGACGAUCCGUAGCUGGUCUGAGAGGAUGAUCAGCCACACUGGAACUGAGACACGGUCCAGACUCCUACGGGAGGCAGCAGUAGGGAAUAUUGGACAAUGGGCGCAAGCCUGAUCCAGCCAUGCCGCGUGAGUGAAGAAGGCCCUCGGGUUGUAAAGCUCUUUUGUCCGGAAAGAAAAGCACUGGGUUAAUACCCCGGUGUCCUGACGGUACCGGAAGAAUAAGCACCGGCUAACUUCGUGCCAGCAGCC
rnacentral:rRNA from 1 species